GACGAACGCUGGCGGCGUGCCUAAUACAUGCAAGUCGAACGGUCUUUUCUAUGGAAGCUUGCUUCCACUGAGAAGAUAGUGGCGAACGGGUGAGUAACACGUGGGUAACCUGCCCAUAAGAGGGGGAUAAGAUCCGGAAACGGGUGCUAAUACCGCAUAGUUUUCUUGAUCGCAUGAUCGAGAAAGGAAAGACGGCCUUUGUGCUGUCGCUUAUGGCUGGCCCCGCGGCGUAUUAGUUAGUUGGUGAGGUAACGGCUCACCAAGACGAUGAUACGUAGCCGAUCUGAGAGGGUGAUCGGCCACAUUGGGACUGAGACACGGCCCAAACUCCUACGGGAGGCAGCAGUAGGGAAUCUUCCGCAAUGGACGAAAGUCUGACGGAGCAACGCCGCGUGAGUGAAGAAGGUUUUCGGAUCGUAAAACUCUGUUGUCAGAGAAGAACAAGUCGGAGAGUAACUGCUCCGGCCUUGACGGUAUCUGACCAGAAAGCCACGGCUAACUACGUGCCAGCCGCCGCGGUAAUAC
rnacentral:rRNA from 1 species